rnacentral:rRNA from 1 species
UAAAUCACAAUGCGGAACAAUGUUUUGCAAUUGGAUUGAGAACAACGUACAAACCUUAUCGAUAAACAAUUGGAGGGCAAGUCUGGUGCCAGCAGCCGCGGUAAUUCCAGCUCCAAUAGCGUAUAUUAACGUUGUUGCAGUUAAAAAGCUCGUAGUUGAAAUGAAGGGUAGUUGUGUAAUGAAUACAUUCGUGUAUUUUGUUAUUCUACUACCCUCCUUCUAAAUUCGAUAUAUGAGUAUUAAUUUACUUGUAUAUGGUUUUAGACCUUUACUGUGAGAAAAUUAGAGUGUUCAAAGCAGGCAUUUGCUUGAAUAUAUUAGCAUGGAAUAAUCAUGUAUGAUUUUCAUGAUGUAUUUGAUUGGUUUGGUUCAUGAGAAUAAGAUUAAAAGGGACAGUUGGGGGUAUUCAUAUUCAAUAGUCAGAGGUGAAAUUCUCGGAUUUAUGGAAGAUGAA